ACCUGAGGCAAGCACUGAGUCAGCCCUGGGAGCACAGGUGAAGGCAAUUCAGCUGUGUGACCAGAAGGGGUGGAGCCUGGCUGCACCUCUCCUAGACCCCAUUUAAGGGCUGACUGCCUCUCUGGAAGGUUUGCUUUCUGGAGAUUCCUCCGCUUGGAGUUUUUUCUGUGAGCCUAGUUCAUGGGCGAAUUCUGUUUAGUUUCUCCAGGGGGUGAUAACAGCAAGGCUCCUUCCCUCUGGAAGCAUAUACAGUUUUGCUGGAGUAAUAAAAACACUGAAGAGGAGAACCAGCAGCAGGCGCAGGACUGACUUUGAUUUCAUUUUCUUACCUCUGUGGAAAGCAAAGCAGUAAAAUCUUUCAAGAGCCCUGCAUCUGGGUAUCCUGCUGCUGCCUUCAGCCCCAUCUCCUGAGCAGUAGAAGUGGUGGCUUCGCAGCCUUUUCAAGUUGUUCAGAUUCUCUUUCCAGCAUGCAGUGUUAUUUAGAAGCAUGAAGACAGCUCUGAGAAAAGAAACAGUUUUGCAUCAACAUGGGGCACAGCUCAUAUUCUCUUUUACAUGAGCUUGUAACUUCCUCUGUUUUACCUGAUAUAAAUGUAAAUUGAUUUUCCUCCUUGUUCCUGUGAUGAAGUAUCUUCAAGCUGUGCUACUGAACGGUCAGGAAACACAGAAUGAAUGUGUUAGGAGCUUGAAGAAAAAGGAAAAGUUGCAAAAUAUGAAAAGAAAGGUUCCCCUAUGGACAGAAAGAAAAGUGCUGUAGGAUGGAUGCAUGCAAUACAUACCUGUAAUCAGUUUCUAAAACAGUGUCUUUACUGGAAAUGUUAGAGGAAAAUAACCCAUUCCUGGGAAAUCAAACCAAACUCAUGUCAAAGCAGAUGUUCUGAAACAUAUUGUUGAGCAAUCUUAGGAUAGCAAGGGUGUUGCACAGGAGGAUGCCAUCAGUCUGUAAAUGGUGUGUUUCUCUAGAAGAAUAUUCCACUGUUCUAAGCCAGCUAGUAUUUUCCUGUGCUAAUUUCUGCAUGUAGCAUUCUGUUGUUUCAUUGCAGUUUUCUGUUAAAAACAGUUGGGCUCAUAACCCUUCCUCAUGAGAAUGUUGUUAUCCACUUGGAGUAUUCCUUUGGAAAGAGGGAAAGAAAUGCAGAAUUUGGAUUGUUAUCGUUGGCCAGAUUGCCUUCAGAGCUGAUUUGGGAUAUCACUGGGAAUACUUCCAGAGAAAACCAGUAUUCUGCUGUAUUCCAUAGGUAUUCUCUAUAAUUUUAUCUCCUCAGCACAGUGUGGCUCUGUGAUCUUUGAAACAGUACUGGAAAUUAAAGCUACCUCAGUUAUCUAUUUUGAAAAGUCUUCUCUUCAAGCAAAGUGGCUUGUCCAUCAUCAUGAUUGCAGUAGGAAAUACUUCUGCAGCUCAUAUUCACCACAUCAGCUGCCAGUGUUCAACAGUCCCUGACUUUCUGAUGUCAGAAAGGAGGAGUUUAUAAAUGGAUUGUGCUAUUAUUUUGUCUUUCACAUUUACAGCAGUUCAAUGACAAUGAUUGAAUUCUAACCAAACACAGUCUGACAAUCGCUAUGAGACUGCAAGUAUGCAGUGGCCACAUGAACAGAACAUGUGGAAAAACAAGAACCAAAGAAGGAGAAAAGGAGCCAUGAUGGUAAAAGCUCUACCUGGCAAGGAAGAGUAGAAGGAGUAAAAUACUUCCAGUGUCCACUGUAUGAAUGCUACUCAUAAAAGCUCAAGUAGGAUUCUUCAGAUAGCAAGAGUAUGUCUGACUGAGAGCCUGGCAGCAAGCGUGUCUCAGCAAAAUACUGAUUCUGUGUGGGAAACACUGGAGAAAUCCAUGGACAUUUGGAUGCAAAACCGUGUUGGGAAACCAUAUGCCGGUACCAUUCUACUCUAAAAAGUAACUCUGCGAAAGAAAUUGCACCCUGUUUCCAAUUGAUCCACAUACCUGACAGGGAAGAGCUGUUGUCUCCAGGUAGGCAGCUGUGCUCAGGCAGACUUGUCGGUGUAUGAAUUUAGCACAGUCUUUAUGAAGGUGUUCUUUAACCUGCCCUUAGUGCAAUUAACAACAGGCCUUUUUUGUGGGUCUGGUAAGCAUUGCUAGCAUACAUCCAGGGCCUUUCUCUGAGAGCUGCAUGCUUCCUAAAGCUAUCAUCUAAAGUUAGUAAUACCUAUUUUGUUAUUCAGUGUUAACAGAAAUGAUAUAGAGUACAUUCAGAGAAGGAGCUAUUGUAUAAGAUAAAGACUCUCUUAUAGUCUGGAGAAUAAUCCCCUAUGAGAACAGUUCCUUAUUUUAAAUCGUUAAAGAUAGCUUCUUGCUAGGGAAUGCAAGGUGCUGAUAACACAUUAUAUUCCUCUCUUGCUGCUUCUUUCUCUUGUAUUGAUUGGUCCUAUGCUGUAAGUAUGAUAGACCAUGGGGCUCAUCUUAUAUUCCUCUGGGUGCUUUGAAGAAAUGACUACAUUUGUCAAAUAACAAAAAAGAAUUACCUGAGACACAUCAAAAGCAACUUGAAAACCUGCAGUCCCAGCUCUGUGAUGAAGUGAGAAUUAAGCAGCAUGCCAUCCUGCCACCACUUCCUCACCAUUGACAGGCGUUUCGCAUG